GCCGCCAGGAAGAAUCAGGAGAGGGUCCCCCUGGAUCCCCCGGACACCCCAGAGGAGGGGCAGGUGCUGUACACCCACGUCGUGGUCACCAAGAGGGCAGGGGUGUCCCCCCGUGCCACCACCCUCCAGGAUCCACAGGUGACCUACGCGGAGCUGCAGGGACACCAGGGGCGACCGU